UACAGAGGUCUCAAGCGUUGUUCGGAUUCAUUGGGCGUAAAGGGUGCGUAGGCGGCGCGGUAAGUCGGGUGUGAAAUCUCGGAGCUUAACUCCGAAACUGCAUUCGAUACUGCCGUGCUUGAGGACUGGAGAGGAGACUGGAAAUUUACGGUGUAGCGGUGAAAUGCGUAGAUAUCGUAAGGAAGACCAGUGGCGAAGGCGGGUCUCUGGACAGUUCCUGACGCUGAGGCACGAAAGGUCAGGGGAGCAAACGGG
rnacentral:rRNA from 1 species